GAAAAAUUGAGUUUGUUAUUAUUAUUCUAUUUUUUAAGAAUGUUUUAGUACUGCAAGCAAACACGUGAGCCACUUGAGGCUACAUGAGGGCCUUGGACACAAUUUGACUUAAAAUUUUCAAAUUUUAUUUUUCCAUUUUCGAUGUUUAAACUGAUAAACAUAGAAGUUUAUAAUGCUACGUCAAAAUUUGAAAGUUAGAUAUCAAGUUAUAAGCAAGAUACAGAGUUCAUAAUUCUUUGUUUUGUAAACAAAGCUCGAAUAUUGUCAUUUUUUACAUAUGUGUUGUAUUGGUUCAAGUUUCAAUCAAAUGAAUAUUUCUUUUGUUGAAAAUAGUAUUUAUGAAGAUACUAAAUUAGUUUAAAUUGUUUUUACAAGUUAUUUUGUCUAAGAAAUGGUAAUUCUCUACAUUACAUUUUUUGUAAACAACUAUAAGACUCGAGUUUUGUUUUAUAUAACAACCAGUUCUUACCUCUGUAUCUCGCUUGUAAUUUGACCUUAACAUUCAAUAUUUUGGUCAAUCAAUUUAAAAUGCACCAGUAAACCAUUUUAUACAUAAAAAAUAAAAAUGAAAUUUUUGAUCUCAAAUGGUGUCCAAGUCCCUUUAAUGUUUUUUAUCUUUUGAAACCAGUUUUUAGACAGGUUGGGCAGAAACAACUUUAAUCCAAUUCAAGAAAUAUUUACAUUUUUAUCACCAGUUAUAUAAGAUGGCUGCACACCCCCUUUAAUGCUUGAUACAAUUUUAAACUUGAUUUGAUGAGCUGUUUAAUAUGCUGGUUAAAUGAAAUCUGCGAUGCAUUUCUUAACGAAGACAUUGUUCUCCCAGGGCGAAUUCUAAUGCAUGCAAUGUUUAUUUGUUUUUGAAAUUGUAGAUCAAAUAUAUUUACCAAU
rnacentral:misc_RNA from 1 species